CAUACAUCUACUGAGUUUCUGUCUUUCAGCUAUCUAUUUUUCUUUUGUUUUCUAGGCUCAACCAACUGUCCUGGAAGACAAAAGAACCCUUCAAGUUGAGUCGCCAAAAGAAGAAAAGCCAAGUACCAAGUGUGAUUCUCCAGAUGGUGGCAAGACCUGUGCAGUGAAUCACAACUCUACCAAUGUGAACAAGACAACAGAAGUGGAUCCUGUCUUGCAGAAGCUGUACACACCUCCUCAGACUAAGCUGGAGAUCCCAAAAUCAGAAGAGAAAAACCGGAAGACUUCCAAAGGCAUCGCAAAUACAGAAGAAAAGACACUGUAGGCUUCAGGAAGCUGUGCUGCAAAUCUCCAUUUGCUAAUGUCUUCACAUUAUUUUUAGUCCAAAGGCAUGACAAAAGUACUAAGUUUCUAGAGCAUGCAUCUUUUCCACUAUUUUAUGUAUGUUUGUAAAGUAGCCAAAAGAAUUUCCAAAAUCCAACAUGCCAUUUACUAUCCUUUAGCAAUAAUCUAUUUGAAAUCGAUACUCACAGAAAUGCUUUUGUAAUACAGUCCAGUUUUUUAAGACAUUAUGCUGUCCGGAUCAGUAACUUGCU
rnacentral:lncRNA from 1 species